AUCGUGGCUUUCUGAGGAAGAGUUGGAUUACUACGCAAACAAGUAUGAGCAGACUGGUUUCACUGGUGCAGUUAACUAUUACCGCGCUUUUCCCAUGCAAGUGUUCUCGACUUUUGUGAUAUCCAAAAUUAGAUUCUCUGUUGCUCAGACUCUCCAAAAUUGUUGCACACUUGUGGCCGUAUCCUCCAAAACACACUCGGAAGCAUUUUCUAAAGAGUCUGAACAACAUAGACGAUAUUAGUCUCUUUUAGACUCUCGUGAUCAAUGCACUCUAACGUUCUCGUCUUAUGAAAAUGUAGAAACUGGGAACUG
rnacentral:misc_RNA from 1 species